rnacentral:rRNA from 1 species
GACGAACCGUGCGAACGUUAUUCGGAAUCACUGGGCUUAAAGGGCGCGUAGGCGGGCUGACAAGUCUGGGGUGAAAUCCCGCGGCUCAACCGUGGAACUGCCUCAGAUACUGUCGGCCUCGAGGGAGGUAGGGGCAUGCGGAACUGUAGGUGGAGCGGUGAAAUGCGUUGAUAUCUACAGGAACUCCGGUGGCGAAAGCGGCGUGCUGGACCUCUUCUGACGCUGAGGCGCGAAAGCUAGGGGAGCAAACGGG